GCUGGCGGCAGGCCUAACACAUGCAAGUCGAACGGAGUUAUAUUGUAGCUUGCUAUGGUAUAACUUAGUGGCAGACGGGUGAGUAAUGUAUAGGAAUCUACCUAGUAGUACGGAAUAAUUGUUGGAAACGGCAACUAAUACCGUAUACGCCCUACGGGGGAAAAAUUUAUUGCUAUUAGAUGAGCCUAUAUUAGAUUAGCUAGUUGGUGGAGUAAUAGCCUACCAAGGCAAUGAUCUAUAGCUGAUCUGAGAGGAUGAUCAGCCACACUGGAACUGAGAUACGGUCCAGACUCCUACGGGAGGCAGCAGUGGGGAAUAUUGGACAAUGGGCGAAAGCCUGAUCCAGCCAUGCCGCAUGAGUGAAGAAGGCCUUUGGGUUGUAAAGCUCUUUUAGUGAGGAAGAUAAUGACGGUACUCACAGAAGAAGUCCUGGCUAACUCCGUGCCAGCAGCCGCGGUAAUACGGAGAGGGCUAGCGUUAUUCGGAAUUAUUGGGCGUAAAGGGCGCGUAGGCGGAUUAGUAAGUUAAAAGUGAAAUCCCAAGGCUCAACCUUGGAAUUGCUUUUAAAACUGCUAAUCUAGAGAUUGAAAGAGGAUAGAGGAAUUCCUAGUGUAGAGGUGAAAUUCGUAAAUAUUAGGAGGAACACCAGUGGCGAAGGCGUCUAUCUGGUUCAAAUCUGACGCUGAGGCGCGAAGGCGUGGGGAGCAAACAGGAUUAGAUACCCUGGUAGUCCACGCUGUAAACGAUGAAUGUUAAAUAUGGGAAGUUUUACUUUCCGUAUUACAGCUAACGCGUUAAAC
rnacentral:rRNA from 1 species